UUAGUGGUACAGGGCUGUGAUAUGGUUUGGAUGUCUGUCCCCUUCAAAUCUCAUGAUGAAAUGCGAUCCCUAAUAUUGGAGGUAGAGCCUGGUGGGACCUGACUGGAUCAUGGGGGCAGAUCCCCAGGAAAGGCUUAGCGCCACAUCGCCUAGGUGAUGAACCAUCCUGGCCUGUCAAGCCCCCAUCCUGUGCGUAUAAAAACCCCGAGACCCUAGCAGACAGACAUGCAGGCAGCUGGACGUCGAGAGGAACACUCUGGUGGAAGAACACCCAAACAGACAUCAGCAGAAGCCGGUAGACGCUGGCAGGCUGACCAGCUGAACGAUGCGGAGUUUGGCCAGGGUGGUUGGAGGGGAGCCCAGCCACUGGGCAGCCCUACUCCGGAGGAAAACCACUUUCCCAAUCCAUUCCCUUCUGGCUCCCCCGUCUUCUGAGAGCUACCACCACUCAAUAAAAACCCUUGCAGCCAUCCUCCAA
rnacentral:lncRNA from 1 species